UACGAAGGGGGCUAGCGUUGCUCGGAAUCACUGGGCGUAAAGGGCGCGUAGGCGGCUCGGUAAGGUUGCGGUGAAAGCCCGGGGCUCAACCCCGGGUCGGCCGUGGCAACUGCUGAGCUAGAGCACUGUAGAGGCAGGUGGAAUUCCGGGUGUAGCGGUGAAAUGCGUAGAUAUCAGGAGGAACACCGGUGGCGAAGGCGGGUCUCUGGGCCUGUACUGACGCUGAGGAGCGAAAGCGUGGGGAGCGAACAGG
rnacentral:rRNA from 1 species